rnacentral:rRNA from 1 species
AGUGAACGCUGGCGGUAGGCCUAACACAUGCAAGUCGAACGGCAGCACAGAGGAGCUUGCUCCUUGGGUGGCGAGUGGCGGACGGGUGAGGAAUACAUCGGAAUCUACUUUUUCGUGGGGGAUAACGUAGGGAAACUUACGCUAAUACCGCAUACGACCUACGGGUGAAAGCAGGGGAUCUUCGGACCUUGCGCGAUUGAAUGAGCCGAUGUCGGAUUAGCUAGUUGGCGGGGUAAAGGCCCACCAAGGCGACGAUCCGUAGCUGGUCUGAGAGGAUGAUCAGCCACACUGGAACUGAGACACGGUCCAGACUCCUACGGGAGGCAGCAGUGGGGAAUAUUGGACAAUGGGCGCAAGCCUGAUCCAGCCAUACCGCGUGGGUGAAGAAGGCCUUCGGGUUGUAAAGCCCUUUUGUUGGGAAAGAAAUCCAGCUGGUUAAUACCCGGUUGGGAUGACGGUACCCAAAGAAUAAGCACCGGCUAACUUCGUGCAGCCGCCGCAGUAA